UACGUAGGGUGCGAGCGUUGUCCGGAAUUAUUGGGCGUAAAGAGCUCGUAGGCGGUCUGUCGCGUCGGCUGUGAAAACCCGAGGCUCAACCUCGGGCCUGCAGUCGAUACGGGCAAACUAGAGUACUGCAGGGGAGACUGGAAUUCCUGGUGUAGCGGUGAAAUGCGCAGAUAUCAGGAGGAACACCGGUGGCGAAGGCGGGUCUCUGGGCCGAUACUGACGCUGAGGAGCGAAAGCAUGGGUAGCGAACAGG
rnacentral:rRNA from 1 species